AGCUGGCGGCGUGCCUAAAAAUGCAAGUCGCACGCAAGCUUCGGCUUGAGUGGCAGACGGCUGAGUAACGCGUGGGUGACGUACCUAUUGGUGGGGAAUAACUGCCCGAAAGGGUGGCUAAUACCGCAUACGCCUACUGAUCCGUUUCAGUAGGGAAAGUCGUAAGGCGCCGAUGGAGCGGCCCGCGUCCGAUUAUCCAGUUGGUGGGGUAACGGCCUACCAAAGCGACGAUCGGUAGCUGGUCUCAGAGGAUGAUCAGCCAGACUGGGACUGAGACACGGCCCAGACUCCUACGGGAGGCAGCAGUUAGGAAUUUUGGGCAAUGGGCGAAAGCCUGACCCAGCAACGCCGCGUGGGUGACGAAGGCCUUCGGGUUGUAAAGCCCUUUUCUCGGGGAAGAUGAUGACGGUACCCGAGGAAGAAGCACCGGCUAACUACGUGCCAGCAGCCGCGGUAAUACGUAGGGUGCAAGCGUUGCCCGGAUUUAUUGGGCGUAAAGGGCGCGUAGGCGGCUCGAAAAGUUCGUUGUGAAAUC
rnacentral:rRNA from 1 species